CAUUUCCUACUUCGAUAUUCCCUCGUUCCGUGGGCUGUCCUGUUCGUUUAUUCUGAAUAUUCUCUUUGCGCACUAGUUUUCGAUACUGACAAUGUCCGAUUAUCUAACCGUUUUCCUAAAGUUUUAAACUGUUAAAAGUUUUAAAAUUUAAAAGUUUUACAUUUUUUAAAAAAAUAAUGAAUUUUGAUAAAUGUUUUCUGGCAACAUCCGCUCUCUUCAACAUCAUCCGAUUUCUCUCUCUCUCUCUCUCUCGUUUAUAUGGAAUCAUCCGAUUUUAAUUCUCCUAUUGGUUAAAUACAUCACGUGACAUAGAAUGCAGUAUCAAGCGAUUGGACGAUAGCCGUUCUCUUAUUUGUCGUUUGGUAUUCGAAGUAAAAGACGCGGUAGGAUCGACUAAUAAAGUCAGAACUUAUUUAACGUUAAAUAUGUCACAGAUAAUUUCAAUCGUUUUGUGGUCACGUAACGCGAUUUUAUCCAUAAAGUAGCAGAUGAACUCGGCGUUGCUCUGUCAAUUAAGUUAGCAACGGUUGCGACCGCCGCCAUGACGGUGCACGUGGGUAGAGCUGCUACCGGACUUCAAAAUUUAUGGAACACGUGUUUUAUGAAUGCUGUUAUACAAUGUCUAUCAUGCACUGUCUCUUUAUCCUUAUCGUUAAAUUAAACUUCAUCGAUGGAACUUGAUAUAAAUAGCAUGGAAAAUAAUCAUCUGAUUGUGGUAGCCGACGAGAGGAGUGCGGUUGGUGGAUACAGAUCUAUGAUUAGAGGGGUGAGGAAUUAUGAUAAAAAUAAAGGAAUCCCUCUAAUCAUGGCUGUUGUCCCUGAGAAGGUGUAUAUCCCAUACAGGGUUAGAGACCGAUUUCUCAGCCAGCAGCAGUGGGUAAUGAUGACAUCGACACACCAGAGACCUGCUGCAGGAGCGAUCGCACCCCGAGAGGAGGAAGAAGAUUCCACCUACUAUCACAAUCUAGCGUAAGGACCUAGCUCUCCGCUAGAAGCUAGUGAUAGUAGUGAUGGGUCAUCAUCCAAGGAUGAGGAGAGUUCUAUCUCAUCCGAGGAUGAGAAUUCUACUUCCUCCUCAAAAGAAGAACCUUCUCCAAAAAGAUGACGGUGCUGGAGACAAUCAUAAAACAGUCUAAAAAAUUACAAGUCACAAGAAGUCGUCAAUUAAGUACUACAGCCUGCAGAAAAAACGUAAAAUUUAUUCUGGCCCAUGUUAUAAAAAAGGUUGCCCUUGGUAUAAAUAACACCUGAGUUUCAGGGAUAUAGUUUCGAAUAGCAACUUUUAAUAGAAGAAAAUGACAACAGUUGAUUGCUGGAAAUUAGCGAAAAUGAAUAGUAAG